UCUUACCCAGACUCCAUGCUCGUGACUCACAAGAAAACCUUGAUUCUUGAUUGAUCAAAUCAAGUCUUCUCAAUAUCAAUGGAACUUGCGUGUUGAUAAGGUGAAAGCCAUAAUCCACAAAAAAGGAUGAUUGAUCUUGACAAUGACUUGAUUCAUCCCUUGACCUCGAUCUCAGACAUCUUCCUCCGCUCGUGGUCGAUGAAGAUGCAACUUCGUACGCGUUGCGUUUGAGAUGAAGACAGAGACCUUACGUUCAUGAAGGUAUCGACGUCACAUCGCGAUGAAGACAAGGUGGAGACGUUCGCGAUGAAGACUCCUGAUUCGUGCAUUUGCCGAGACCGGAACGCACCUCGUGACGACGCCUCCUCCUCUCUCGAGCCUUGCCUCCAUCUUCACGCCGUCCACGCAGCACCUCUGCUUUCGUCAAUCCUUUGUGGCAUCGCACUUCCAUCUUCGUUUCGUGCUCCAUAUCCAAACGCGGCGAACCACAUGAAGAAUGGCGCUCCAAUCAUCAACUCACAUUCCGAACUCACCGUCACUGACUCCGAUCAAGAUCACAACCGUACACACUAAAAAUAAAAAACGGCGUCAAAAACGGAUCGAGGAACUCACCUGAAUGAAGCUUCAAUUGUAAAUAGAUUGCGGUGGAUCAAACUCUACAUCGCAGAAGGUGGAUGCCAAAUGAAGAUGAAGAACAAAUGUGGAAUGAAGAAUAAGAACAAAUGCAGGACGCAGAAAUAUGUAAUAUGCAGGACGCUGAAGAACGAAAUAUGCAGAACGAAGGAGAAGGAAAUAUGCAGAACGCGGAAGAAAGAAAUAUGCAGAACGAAAAUACCCCCCAGAAUGUGAUGAAUGUGGGGCGCUUUGGACUUUUAGGUAGAGCUUGUAAUCCUCAUUUGCUCGAAUUUGAUCAAAGUGAACCCGACGGUAUCGAUUUCUGCCUCUGCACUAAGGGGCCUUCGCUGAACCUUUACUAUGCCCAUCAAUUAGUAUCUUCAUUCCCUGUUUUUUGAGUUGACAUGUAUUUGACAGUUGAAAUUCUUUUUGGUCAUGGCAAGAUGUGUUUCCUGCAGCAGUGUCUUUACAAGACAGAUUUGCUUGGUGUCAAGCCUCCCCAUUGAUAGUGUAGGAUGUUACUUGCAUAGGCCAAGUAUUCCCUUCAAAGAUAGUGUUAAUGGAUGACCUGGUUAUACAGAUUUACAAGAUGAUGGUAUGCUGAACUUUUCAUUUGGCUUGGGUUUGAUGGUUACCGUUAAGGAAUUACGGUGGUGCUAGUGCUUCCGCGUCUGACAAGAACAAUAGUUUUGUAACUUAUUAGCAAUCUAAAAUAACUGAUUAAUAAAAUAUUAGGAAGUGAAAUGCAUAGAAAAAGAUAUGCAGAAGUCUCCUUUCAAUUUUGAACAA